rnacentral:lncRNA from 1 species
AUGCGCCAUCUCAUUUCCACGCCCGCAGCCUUCAUGCAAAUUUGAGUUUUGUGUGAGGAUUUUUCAUGCUGAAAUUAAGUUGUCACCCCUUCUCACAACGCCUUGGAUAUGGAUUAGCUUGGGUUCAAAUUUGAAUUCAAACUUGAUUUGAAUUAAAGUUGGAACCUAUCUUUAUCUUGAUGAGAAUUUGUUCUCAUCCAUCU